UAAUACGUAGGUGGCAAGCGUUGUCCGGAUUUAUUGGGCGUAAAGCGCGCGCAGGCGGUCCUUUAAGUCUGAUGUGAAAUCUUGCGGCUCAACCGUAAGCGGUCAUUGGAAACUGGGGGACUUGAGUGCAGAAGAGGAAAGCGGAAUUCCACGUGUAGCGGUGAAAUGCGUAGAGAUGUGGAGGAACACCAGUGGCGAAGGCGGCUUUCUGGUCUGUAACUGACGCUGAGGCGCGAAAGCGUGGGGAGCAAACAGGAUUAGAUACCCUGGUAGUCCACGCCGUAAACGAUGAGUGCUAAGUGUUGGAGGGUUUCCGCCUUUCAGUGCUGCAGCUAACGCAUUAAGCACUCCGCCUGGGGAGUACGGUCGCAAGACUGAA
rnacentral:rRNA from 1 species